AAAGGGAUAUACACCACAUAUAGGGACACAUACAUGUUCACACACACAUACACACACAUAUUUAUCUAGCCAGGACAAUAACAAAGGCAGGUCAACUGUGUUAAACAGAAGGUGUGAGUCCCAUCCUUCAGGACUCAGGAAGAAGGAACCAGCCACUUCUGAUGAGCCUAGGGGCCCAAACCCAACUAGGCUACUAUAUUCCAGCCCUUGAACACCCCAACAUCUGCCUGCGAGGGCUUAUAAGUGAAUUCUUAUUACUCUGCUCAACCCUACAGUGAAUUGAUGGGGUGGGGUGAGAGCAGAGGGAAAAAAGCAAAGAUUGACUCAUGUUUACUACCACGCCCAUGAGAUCCUUGUCCACACAGACUGGCUGGUGGCUGGAAGAGAAGGAGGAGCGGAACAAGCCAUCUCAGGCCAAGCAGGCAACAUCACUCAGCAGCUUGCUCACAAACUCACCAGCACCUGACCCUGACAAGACCCGUGUGUUAAAAAGUGCUACUAUCAGUGGUGGUUCUGUGGGUUGUGUGGCAUGCCAGAUAUCUUUGUCAGAAACCAAGUCUCUGGAUAAAUUGACAUCGUCAAUCUCAAGAUGAAAUGGAAGUUUGGAGGGGGGAUACCAAUUGCUGUGGGUCCUCCAUGUAUGAACCUGAUGCUGGUUUCCUGAACUCUUAGCACCUGUGGCCAUCUGCUGGAGACCUGCACAAAAUUUGGACCCCCUGCAGAUAUACGGCAGCUGCCACAGGAAUUCUCCACACUGCUCUGCUCAAGAACAAUCCACAGCUCCAUACUGACUACAGAAGCAACGGGCGAACGGGCGAACUGGCCUCUUUCAUAAAGGACAUUUUAUUGAAGCUCAA